rnacentral:rRNA from 1 species
AUGCAUAUGUUCUCAUUAAUUUGUCCAUAUACGAAUGCAUACUUUUCUUUGAUGCCUUAUAUACGCAUAUCUAUGAUGUUUUUUGGUGACUUGACUAACAUGAGAAACAUUAUCUUAGUGGACUUUACCUUUUUCUUGGUGAUUACAUUUGGUGGAAUACAUUGCCUUGGACUAUAUGUGAUUUUCAUUUCCUUGGCACUUACAUGUAGUGGAUCUCAAUGGCUAGCGUCUUUUCCAUCAAUUUUUGUAGAAUUACGUAACUCUAAUGGUCGUGACUGGUGUAGGUAUAGUUAUGAUAACCAUGGCUGUGAUUUGAUUAGGCACAUCUAUGAUGAUUCAUCGGUUUGUGAUCCACUAAUAACAAGAGGGCCGGCAUUUCAGUGGCCAUAUAUUUUUGUUUUUUGCGGGAUUCUCUAG